rnacentral:lncRNA from 1 species
AGUAAUUCACAAGGCGGAGAUAUAAGAUCAUUCAGAGUGCUUGAAAGUUGAAAACAAGAAGUUGCAUGCUGAUCUAGAUGUCGAAAUCAUUUUGAACAGCCAAACAGUGACCUAACAUGAUAGAGAGCAUGCUUGUGUGCACACAAACACACAUUGCACGGUUUUGGGAUAAAAAAUUUUAAGCUCAAAUUUCACUCAUGUUAUACGAGGGAAAAGAGGCAAAAUAUUCAGUAAUGAGAGACCAAAUAGGUAGAAACUCAGCUUCAUCAGAAAUAAUGUAAAAAAAAAUAGAGUAAUCAAUCAACCUGCUCCACUUGUUCUAUAAUUUAAACACAGAAUAACUCCUCUUACCUGAUAUCCUUAAUGUCAAGUCCUCGAGCUGCAACAUCGGUGGCCACAAGUACCGGGGACCUCCCAGUGCGGAACUGAUUCAAUACAUAAUCCCUCUCACCUUGAGAUUUGUCUCCAUGAAUGGCAGCAGCUCCAAAGGGGCGGGUUAG